AAGUCGUAACAAGGUUUCCGUAGGUGAACCUGCGGAAGGAUCAUUACCGAGUUAGGGUGCUUAUUGUACCCGACCUCCAACCCUUUGUCUACCUGACCAGAUGUUGCUUCGGCAGGCCCGCUGCCCCGCAAGGGGUGGCCGCCGGGGGUCUUUACCGGCCCCGGGUCCGUGCCUGUCGAUGGCCCUUCUAAAAACUCUUGCUUAAACGUGUCGUCUGAGUAAAACAAAAAAUAAAAACAAAACUUUCAACAACGGAUCUCUUGGUUCUG
rnacentral:misc_RNA from 1 species